GCUGGGCAUGGUGGCGCACGCCUGUAAUCCCAGCUACUCGGGAGGCUGAGGCAGGAGAAUCACUUGAACCUGGGAGGCGGAAGUUGCAGUGAGCUGAGAUCAUGCCACUGCACUCCAGCCUGGGCAACAGAGACUCCAUCUCAAAAAAUAAAUAAAGCCUUUUUUUUUGUUUUGAGACGGAGUCUCACUCUGUCGCCCAGGCUGGAGUGCAGUGGCGCCAUCUCUGCUCACUGCAAGCUCCGCCUCCCAUGUUCACGCUAUUCUCCUGCCUCAG
rnacentral:sRNA from 1 species